GAAACCGAAAACAAUUCAACAAAGUAAACCGCGUGUGCUGCCUCACGUUAAAUGGCCACGACGAGACAAAAGAACUAAGUACUAGUUGCCCCGGCUCCUGUGGGAGACCAAGUGCUGGCCACGUGCAGCUGUACAGCGAGCCGCCCCUCAGGGCCAACACCGCCGCCGUGGAGGGACCGUAGUUAGAAGCUGGCAGGCACGUGAGACUAGCGUGAGGAGACGGGCGUCCAUGUCCACCACCGCCAUGGCUCUGUGGACCACAAAUCCCACGUGGGCUUGUUACAUACAACCUGAGAUGGCUGGUUUACGCAGUUUCUUCUUCAUUGUCAUCCUGUUCCUCCUCACCCACCUUGGCAUGAUCCAACUCACUGCAGAUCAAACUACGAAGAGAUUUAAACAUCAACACCAUAACUAAUGAUGACCAUCGUAAUGUUUUGGCCGAAAAUGGCCCAAAGGGCAUUUUUGGUCUUGGACCUAACAACUUUUGUCACCGAAAUACAACAUAAUGUUUCAGCCGAAAAUGGCGCAAAAAGGCAUUUUUGUUUUUGGACCUAACGACGUUUGUCACCGAAAUACAACGCCCAAAACAAGAUGUUGUUAUGAUACAAGAAAAACCGCGGCCAGCGCACAGUCAUGUUCAGUAUAUUGAAGGUUUAAAAAAAAUAAAAAACAAUCUUCUCAACCUUGAAUAAAACACGGAUUCAAAUAUUCUA